CAGUGCAAUCUACAACAAACUUUACUUUUAACGACCAUUUCUUAACGACAUGACAUAAAUCCGGUCAGUAUAAGUAUAUUUAGGGGUCCAAAAAUAUUUACGGUCGUUAAAGUCCAUUUCUAGUUCAGCAAUGGCGACAAUAUAAUAUCCCGUCGGUUAAGAUGACAAUAUCCUGUUGUUAGUACUAGCUAGUAUUUUGGCGGAAAAAAUAGAUCACUCCCAUUAUUCCCCAAAACUUCUCUAUUUUUUACAAAAUAAAAGGAAACCGCUUUAGUAAUUAGAAAGGGAAAAAAGGGAGCCAAAUCCUAUACUCCAUUUCUAGGGUUACAUGAAGCAAUUCUCUGCCUUCCUCUUCUACUCAAGCAUGAAAUCUGAGUCUCGACUUCUAAACAUUGGCUAGAUUCUCCGUUCAUUUUAUUGCAGACCCAGUUAUUGCAAUUUUCCUACAGGCUAUUGGAUAUCUUGAUUGUGCGGUUCGAGAAGUUCUUCCCAGUUGUCACUGAAUAGAGGAGAAAUCUACUUGUAGAUCAGGUUCAAGGAGUUCUGUGAGGAUUGCGUCUUCAAGCAUUAGGGCAGUGGACAUAUUCAUGCAUUGCGUCUCUUAGGUUCAUCCUUGCAACCGUCCUGCAUUUGACUUCAUAUUGCUUAGGUUCUCAUGCUAACUCUUGUUAUUCUUUAUGACUUUUAAUGAUUCUUGCUUUGUGAGUUUUAGUUUUCAAAUCAUGGUUAAGGAGAGGACAAACUUGAGAGAGCUUUUGAAGCUAAAAAGGCUGUAAUCCUAAGUGCUUACUUUCACUUUUUAUUAUCGAUUCUGUGAAGCAUUUAUUUUUAUGAGUAUUGAUAUAAGUAGAAAGAAAGAAGUCAGAUCCUAUUGACGAGGAGAGCAUUGAUGACACCGUAUAGUCAUAGUAGUUUUUGCAAUUUUGCGGCUUUAAUUUCAGUUUUCAAAAUUGAUUAUCUCAUUUUCACUUUGUUGUUAGAGACAUGUUUUGAUCGUCUUUAAUUUUUUUCAUAUUCACAGGUUAAUUUCUUGCGCGUAAAUAGGUUUGUAUGUUCGUACUCCGGACCACUACAUAGGCUAUUUACUUUAGUACUGAUUUAUGUAUUUAUUUCCUCUUUUUGGACCUUUUAAUUGAACUAGUUGGGACUUGCUAGUAUCUGUAUUAGUUUUCUCUGUUUUGGACAUGCUACUUGAAUUUCUUGUUGAAAUUUGCUGGUUUCUAUAUUGGUUUUCUCUGUUUUGGAUCGGCUACUUGAAUUUCUUGUUGAAUGUUACUGGUUUCUACAUUUACUUUCUUUCUUUACCUUUUACUUGAAUAUGUUGUUGAAAUUUAUUGGUUUUUGUACGUAUUUUCCCAUUUUUGUACCUUUUACAUAAAUUUAUUACUGAUAUUUGUUUAUUUGUGGUACACAACAUCUAAGCUUUUCCGAAAUUGCUGUUCUAUAAUUGUUUUCAAUUGAAGCAUCAUAAAAGGAGAAGAGAAAGAAAUACUGGAUAGGUGAAAUUAAGGAGGUUUUGGAGAAGUGUGUAGAUUCGCAGCUAUGGCAUGCCUUUGCUGGAGUAAUGGUGCAAAUCCCUCUAGUCAACUCCAAGGUCGACUAUUUUCCACAAGGGCAUGCUGAGCAUAUUCUUACAAUCGUGGAUGGUUUCUAAUCAUGAUUUUAAGGGGAGGAAGUAGAAUUGUGUCAUUUCUUUAAUGUCAAAUAUCAACCAAAUCAAAAUAGGAAAACAUGACAAAAGAUCUAUUAUAGAAAUAAGACAUACAUUUUUGUAAAUCUUUUGCAGGAAAGUCUAUUUCAAUCUUCAAACUUAAAAGUGCUGGAGCAUCAGGUUCCUUAUGAACAGAAUAGGUAUAUUUCAAGUUCGGCAUGCAUUUAGUUUAUAUAUGUUUAUUGUAGAAAGAUUGGAGGAAGGCCCUUAUUAUUUGCAUAAGCUGUUUGGAUGUUGGCAUUAUAGAUGAUAACAAGAUUUCUUUUCCUUUCUUUGGAUUUUCCCAAGUGAGGAAUAUUGUGAUAAAAAGUGUAGAGAACAUUAAAAAAUGUAUGUUCUAUAAAAGCUAGCAUUCAUCAUUGUUCUACCAAGAAAUGACUAGUCCUUGAAUUAACUUCUUGAGUUUACUAGGUAAGUCUGAUAUUCUGUUACUAUUCUCUUUAUGAUUUGCUUUGCAAUGCUCCUUUCGAUCUAAUAUGAUUAUACACUAAGUAAAAGAAUAUGCAUCUUUGUUAUUUUUUUCUUUUUCCUUUUUUAUUUGAUGUCCGUCUAGACUGAUAUCUUUAGAAGAUAACAUUACACGUUUUAUUUUGGUUUCUUAGCAACUCUGAGUUAAACCUCUUUAGAGAGGAUUCUAGGUUGACAAUUUUUUAGGUCCGAUGUCCCGUUAAGUUACACCUCACAGCAGGCUUCUCAUCAUUUAAGAUAAGAUUUGUAUUGUCUUUUUCAGAAGUAAUCUGGCCAAUGUAUCAUGCGUAAAACUGAAAAGGACUCGCUGACUUUCUUGCUUCAACUGCUAUUAUUUUAGCAAGAGCAACUCUACUACUUAGAGGAGUUCUUCUGUCUCUAUUUUCAAUUCUUAUAAGAUCUGUUGGAGAUCAAGAUAUUAUUGUUCAAGUAUGUUAUGGAUGCAUAUUACUUAUGUUGUUAUAUGCAGAUUUUACACUAUAUCAAAAUUUUCUGGUGUUUUUCAGUUCUAUUGCUAUAUAAUCAGGAUAUGCUCAAAUUAGUACCAUGAAAUUAUUUGUUUGGUGGUUAGUAUUGAAAUAGAUUAUUAGUUGAUCAUGAUUUGAAGUUGCCAAAAGGAAGGAAGCUCUUAAGUUCCAUACUGAAAAGGUAAGAUUCCUGGACUUGCUCCUACUGGACAUUAUUUUAACUAUUUGUGGUCAGUUAAUGUACAUGUCUAUGGGAAAUGAUUCGAUGGCAUGGAUGAAAAAUUCUUUUUUCCUAACCUAGUAAUAUUAUGAGUGGUGAUUAAUUCACUAUAGGCUAUGAUCUAUUAUUGGAUUUACUUUUGAUGUUGUUUCUAAUUGUUUGAAGAUUGAAAUGGCUGAAAGUAUGAUGAACCCACCCUCCCCCUCCCUCGCGCUCACGUCCUCAACGAUGGAACUCCUAAGGUUUAAGUGUUUGACCCUUUUGUUCAGAAAACUUCAAAUUUCUAAUGAUUUACUUUUAACUCAGCAUUGUAGAAUUUAUUUGAUUCAUCACAACAAUCGAUUAGCUGAAACUCCUGAAAUAGAAGUGAAAGUUUCAGUGGCUACAUUAUUGGUACCUUUUCUAGGCACUGUGACUUGCUAUUAGCAUACACUUAAUAAAUGACUUCUGAUUGUUACACCUCGAAAUUUUUUUCGUUCAUGCACAGUGAAUAGAUUGACAAAGGGUACGACGUAUGUGAUGUUUUGAUAAAUAAGAAAUAACAUUUGAUGAUUCUAAAUGAGAUUUCAAAGACAUUCGAAGUAAGAGAAGAAAGUUUGCCAAGAAAGACAAGGUAUACGUUAUGUAUUGAGAAGGAUUUGAGUAACGAAUUAAUUAUGACUUAAUGAUGUUUUGGAGAAGAGCUAUAACGUCCCUUAGAUUGUUAAUGAGGUGUUAAACAAGUGUCAAGAAGGUUUCAUAAGGAUUGGAGAUCAAACGAGUCGACGAGAACGAAAUCGGAAUAGCUAGGCAUUGUACAGCCCAACAUACUGGCCGUAUAAAUUAUACUGGCCGUAUGUUAGGCCAUAUAUUUAGCCCAGAUGGGCAACCUUCACUGGACCAAACAUACGGCUCGUAUAAAACAUACGAACCGUAUGUUGGUCCGUAUGUUUGUGUUGAGAUAGAUUUUGGGUAUUUAAUAAGGGGCCAAGUUCAUUUCAUUUCAUUUCCCCUUCACUCCCCUUUCUCUAUAAAACAUCUCUCUACAAUUCUCCCACAAGAAUUCAAGGGAUAUUUGUGAUCAACUACAUCAAACCAAGUGAAUCAAAUGUAAGAAACUCAUUAAAGUUCAUCCAAGACAAGGAAUCCAAGUGAAGGUGAAACUAGGGUUUUGCUCAAGUGAAGUGUUCGCACUCAAGGUUCAUUCUUACACCAUCUAAGGUAAGAUUUAUGGUAUUUCCAUGUUGUUUAAGGUAUUUAAAAGUUGAAACACUUGGAUUGUAGAAGAAUAUAGAAAAAUAGGUCAUGAAUGUGAGAAUAGUGUCAUUUUGAGUGACAGCUUGAAUUGAGUUAUGAUUCUUGAUGUGUUGUGAUAUGGUUAUGUUAUAAAUGAUAUUAAGGACAUGGGAUAAGCGUUAUAUGCAAGAAAACGUACUAGUAUACUAUGACCAUGAUUAUGGAUGAAUUGAAGUGGAAUUGUGAAACGAGGGUAAUGUAGAUGAAUGAAGGUUGUUGGUUAUGAUAUUGUGAACGUUGUUAUAAAUGUUUCGGAGUUGAUAUACAAUAUGGGGAAAGUUGUAUAAACAAAGGAAAUGCUGCCCAAUUUUCUCUAGCUUUAGUAAGCACGUUCAUGUAAUCGAUUAGCUAAUGUGAAUGCGAAUUCUCUUGAAGGUAGAAACGUGAGCAUUGAAGGAGAACAAUCAAGCGAUGGAAUUGUUAAACGAAAGAGGUAUGUAAGGCUAGUACUUUCUUUCUAAGGCAUGAAUCCUAUGAUAUGAUAUUCCCUCCUUCUUCAUGAUUUUCCUACGUAUCGAAAACUAUGAGUCUACGAUUAUAAAGAGCUUCAUAAAAGAUAAGAAAAAGAGAUAUGUUACAAGCAUGACGAUACCGAUGAUGAAUAUAAGUCUAGAAGUCCUAAAGUUCAUGAUACAAUAUUCCUACGAAGCUAAUGAUCCUUAUAUGAUUCCUAUGAUAUUAUUUCCCUACCUCUCCAUGACUUGCCUACAUUUUGGGAACUAUGAGUCAACAUUGAUAAAGAGCUUCUUAUGAGAUAAAGAUGAGAAAUAUGUCGUGAAUACAAAAAUAAUGAUGGUAAGUUUAAGCCUAGAGAUUCUAAAGCAAGAUAUGAUGUCUAUGAAGUUAAAGAUCAUACUUACAAUCCCUUGAUGUUGUUCAUGGUGUACACUCACCUUAAAAUGUUAGUUCCUUCAAGGUGAGAUAUGAUGAAUAUGAUUACUCCAUAAUGUAAUCGGGGGUUCUCGACGUUACGUCACCCCGACAUUGUUAUAGAUUGUCUAUAAGCUAUAAUGCAUGUCCUAUGACCAAUGUUCCGAAAAGUUAUGAGUCUAUGUUCAUAGGUGAUUCCAUAUGAGAUAAAGGUAAGAGAUAUGCCAUAGAUGCGAUGAUGGUAAUGAUGAGUCUAAGUUUAGAGAUUAUAAAGUCUACCAUGCGAUAUUUUUACGAAGUUCAUGUUACGAAUAUGAUAUGAUUUUCAUAGAUUGUCUUUAAAUUCAAAUACAUGCUCUAUGAAAAGUUAUGAUAAGUUUAUGAGAUAUAUGUGAUGAUAACGAUGACGAUGUUGAUAGUGAUGAUGAUAAUGAUGACGAUGAUCACAGUGAUGACACUAAAGAUAUUUAUGGGCUUUUAUGUAUAUAUGUGCCUAUGUAUGGCUAUUAUGAAACCUCGAGCUUAUAUCGCGGUAUAUAUAUAUAUAUAUAUUCAUGUAACGCGCGCGCACCUCUGCAGUUAGGUACGAAUACCACUGAGCCUUGGUAGGGCCGGGUACGGAUAACACUGAGCCUUGGUAGGGCCAGACACGCAUAGCACCAAGCUUUAUUAUAGCUGGGUACGUAAGACACCGAACCUAUGUAGUCGGGUACGAUACUACUAUGAUUAUAUAUAUGAUAUAUGUAUGAAAAGCCCGAAAGAUAUGUAUGUGAUAUUGUCGAGCCACUACGUGGCCGAAUACGGAUAACGUAUAGUGUGUAUGAGCAGAUACGGUGUUAUGAUACAUGUAUGAUACGAUGAUGUAUGCGCUAUGAUGAUACAUAUACUAUGAUUAUAUAUGAUAUAGGCAUGAAAGGUAUCCUCCCUUAAAAGUUAUGCAGGUUAUAUCUACAACUUAUGUCUUAUGACUUCUCUACUAUGUUCAUUUCAUUCAUGCCAUACAUACUCAGUACAAUAUUCAUACUGACGUCCAUUUUCUUUGGGCGCUGUGUUCAUGCCUACAGGUAGACAGGGAGGCGACCCAGAUCUAUAGAAGCCGAUAAGCAGACUUUUUGAGAGCACUCCAUUAUUUCGGAGAUCGAGAAUCUGAAGUCUGAAGAGCCUGGACUUGAAGAAACUGAUGAGCAAGUCGAAGAAACUGAAAAUGUUAAAGAACAAGUUGAAGCACAAGCGGAGCCUAUUCUCUGUUUUGUUAGGAUUGUUUUUAGAUGUUUUUCUUUCCUGUACAUGUUACGAAUUUAUUUCCUCUUUUCAUAGGAGAAAAAUUAAAUGUCAUACUAUUUAGAUGUGUAUGUUUUUCAAUGUGAUGAUUAGUUCCUUGUAAUUAUCUACGAAAUUUUAAUGAAGUAAUGAUAGUUUUGUAUG